AAAAAAAAGAUAGCAUCUAGAAAACAGUGAAGAAGAGGAUGAUUAUGGAAGAACGUUAAAGAAAGAAGUCAAAACAAAUAAGCCACAGCUCAGGUAAAGAACUAAACUCACUUUUUUUUUUCAUCUUAAUAUCUACAAUUUGGAAAUAUUGCAUUUUUACACAACUAACACACACACACACACACACACACACACACACACACACACACACACACACACACAUUGAGGCGUUAUCUUUUUUAUCAGUUUAGUUAUCUAAAAAGAAGCACCCAACAUCUAAAAUAAAAAAAAAAGAAACACAUACAUAAAGAAAAGAGCAACAGCAGUGAUCAAGACAUAAUACACCAACAACAGUCACUCCAGCUCACGGAGAAGACCAAGACCAACAGUUUCCAUACACAACACAGCAGCAGCACAGACCACAUCACAUACCACAGACGCCCAUCAACACCCUCCCGCCCAGUCAGUCUACUCACCCUGACGCCGACAAACUGGUCAUGCAGGAUCACCCACGAGAGGAGGAACACGAAGGAGACGUGGGCAGAGUAGAGAGCCAUGACGUCAGUGCAGUCGAAGAUCCAAAGCGAGUAGACGUGCAUGUAGCCUGUCACCAGCCACGGCAUGCAGAAGAGGCAGCACCGGGUGGAGAGAGGGAAAGGGAGUGGUGAGCUGGGGGAAUGAGUUAUUUGAGAACGGCCUUCUGGCUGGUGAGAAGCAAUGACAGAAGAGGGAGUGUGAUGAAUACCCAGCAUCACGACUCUCAAGGGAGGUUAUCCGAACAAAAGGACCGUGUUUUUACCGGAAAAUAUCGGAAAUGCAGGACGCCAAGGGAGUGUGAGUCUGUCUAACCAAAAUCUAGCCAGCCAUGGCCAAGCAGACUAAAGAUGAGGGGACGCUGAGAGGAGAGAGGGAGCGAGUCUCUCUCUCUGGAAGGCUCGGAAUGGUGGUCAUGUUCCUCGUCCUGCUGCGACGUGACAAAUGGAAGGGAGUGACGGGUAUGAAGGGACCGUGGAGUGAUGCUUGUGCUGUGUGUGUGUCUGUGUGUCUGUGUCUGUGGACAGUAUUCUGAAACACUGCUGCACCACAUCCUCACUACAUUCAGAGUCUUAAGUUAAAGUCACAAAGGUUUUUAAAGGUCUUUUUACGUUUCUAGUGACAAAUGAACAAGAUUUCUAUACUCAACGAGGUCAGUGUGUCAUAUUACACCAAUCGUCAUGAAUUUUUCUAUGGACUGAGUGCAGUACUGUACUGAUCAUUCACUUACAAUAUCAAGAUGUCUUAAAAGAAAAAAAAAAUCACUUUUUAUGUAAAUUUACUACCCAUUUAAAAUGGGAUGAGUUUCUGUGUUUUUAAUCCGAUUUCAGUUUUCUUUAUAUAGAAUUAAAGAAUGAACAUUCCUCUACUUUUCCAAGUUAGACAAUCCAUGGAUUCGAAAAAUAAUAGUACUUAUGAAUUUUGUAUUAAUGUACUCAUUCUCUACUAUUUUUUUAAUGUUUCCAUCCUCCUUGUGACCAACAAAUACAAUCUAGAAGAAAAAUCUAACUAUCAAAU